CGCCUUACAAGCAAAGGCAGUGUCAUAGCUUACUGAGGUUUUACCGAGACGUGAUUAUGGCUAGUUGAAGACUUUUCCCAAUAACCCGCCAUGUCGAUGUGAAAAACCGUCGGCAUAGGCAAUUUUUUGGGAACCUCUUCGGAGG
rnacentral:snRNA from 1 species